rnacentral:misc_RNA from 1 species
UACGGAGGGUGCAAGCGUUGUUCGGAAUUACUGGGCGUAAAGCGCGCGUAGGCGGCUUGGCAAGUUGGGUGUGAAAUCCCCAGGCUCAACCUGGGAACUGCAUCCAAAACUGCCUCGCUAGAGUCUCGGAGAGGAAGGCAGAAUUCCCAGUGUAGGGGUGAAAUCCGUAGAUACUGGGAGGAAUACCCGUAGCGAAGGCGGCCUUCUGGACGAUGACUGACGCUCAGGCGCGAAAGCGUGGGGAGCAAACAGG